GUCUCUGUAGCGUAAUGGAUAGCGCGUUAGACUUCUGAUCUAAAGGUCGUGGGUUCAGAUUCCCUCUGGGAUG